UACGGAGGGUGCAAGUACUAAUCGGAAUUAUUGGGCGUAAAGGGCGCGUAGGCGGAUUGGAAAGUCUUUUGUGAAAUUCCGGGGCUCAACCCCGGAGCUGCAGGAGAAACUACCCACGUCUAGAGGAUAGUCGGAGGAAAUAGGAUUACCUACGUGUAGCGGUGAAAUAGCGUAGAGAUGUGGAAGAACACCGGUGGCGAAAGCGAUUUCCUAGAUUAUAACUGACGCUGAGGCGCGAGAGCGUGGGGAGC
rnacentral:rRNA from 1 species